CGCCGGGCCGAGCCGGUUUUCUCCGGGAAGAUCAAAGCCCGGAGGGGAAGCGGGUCGUCGGGACGAGGGAGGGGACCCGCCCCACCGCCGCCGCCGCCGCCGCCCUUGUGCAGGAGCCUCUCCCCAGUCAGUGGUUAAGUGUCUGUAAUCGGGAUGUAGACGCGACGAAGUCACACGGGUCCAACCUGACAGACGAGGGGCGUGAGGCUCAGAGAGGGUAAGCAUCUUGCCUGGUGUCAGAGGCAGAAGCACUUGAACUGAGUUUGAAUCCAGUUCUGCGGAGUUCAGUGUGUCUACGGUCUUUCAGGGCUUCCAGCCCUUCCUGCCAUCCAUGGAAGGUGGGGAUGCUGCUGUCAUCUUUCACAUUAAGAGACAUCUCCACGUCGCCGCUGGGAAACGCGUCCCAUCUGACUGAUCCAGGUCAUCCCAUCAGUGUUAACUUCAUGCAUUCUCUGUGUGUCACACCUUUAGGGAAAGAAUCAUGCAUUGAGGUGAAAUCCACAAGAACUUAGGCGUUUCAGUGUGGCGUGUAGUGGAUUCACAGUGUUGCACCACCACCCCCCCCGCCCCCCGUGGAGUUCUAGGACAUCCCAUCACUACAGGGAAACCCUCCCCCAGCCCCUGGCAGCCACAACCUUCUCUCCGUCCCCAUGGAUGGGCCCCUCUGGAGGUUCCACGUAGCGCGCGCGUGCGACCUGUGUCUUGUGUGACGGGCCUCUUAACACUCAGCUGGCGUUUCCAAGGUUCAUCCCGCUUCGGCGCACGCUGGAGCGUCGAUGGUUUCUUUGGCUGGAGAAUGUUCCAUUGUGUGGAUGGACCACAUUUUGUUUGUCUCUUCAUCAGUUGAGAGAUUUUUGGGUUGUUUCCACUUUUUGGCUGCUGUGAACACUGGUGUGUGUUCACUGUAUUUUCUUGAUUUCCACACGUGUCCCCAUACGUGUGGCUUUGUCUUUUUUCAGUUAAUGGUUAUUUUUUUUUCAGAAGUGCAUUUUGAAAAUAUUAUCAAUGCCUUUAUUUCCAUUCCAUUAAAUCCAAUAAAGUUAAAUUAUAAUAACUAUUCUUUUUGGUAUAAAUAAAAUAUUUAAACUUAAAAUAA